rnacentral:rRNA from 1 species
UACGUAGGUGGCAAGCGUUAUCCGGAUUUAUUGGGCGUAAAGGGAACGCAGGCGGUCUUUUAAGUCUGAUGUGAAAGCCUUCGGCUUAACCGGAGUAGUGCAUUGGAAACUGGGAGACUUGAGUGCAGAAGAGGUGAGUGGAACUCCAUGUGUAGCGGUGAAGUGCGUAGAUAUAUGGAAGAACACCAGUGGCGAAAGCGGCUCUCUGGUCUGUAACUGACGCUGAGGUUCGAAAGCGUGGGUAGCAAACAGG